rnacentral:tRNA from 1 species
AAUAAGUUGCCUGAAAAAUAAAGGGUUAUUUUGAUAUAAUAAAUUAUACACUUAGUGUACUUAUUA